UACGGGAGGCAGCAGUGGGGAAUAUUGCACAAUGGGCGCAAGCCUGAUGCAGCAACGCCGCGUGAGGGACGAAGGCCUUCGGGUUGUAAACCUCUUUUAGCAGGGAAGAAGCGAAAGUGACGGUACCUGCAGAAAAAGCACCGGCUAACUACGUGCCAGCAGCCGCGGUAAUACGUAGGGUGCAAGCGUUGUCCGGAAUUAUUGGGCGUAAAGAGCUCGUAGGCGGUUUGUCACGUCUGCUGUGAAAACCCGAGGCUCAACCUCGGGCUUGCAGUGGGUACGGGCAGACUAGAGUGCGGUAGGGGAGAUUGGAAUUCCUGGUGUAGCGGUGGAAUGCGCAGAUAUCAGGAGGAACACCGAUGGCGAAGGCAGAUCUCUGGGCCGUAACUGACGCUGAGGAGCGAAAGCAUGGGGAGCAAACAGGCUUAGAUACCCUGGUAGUCCAUGCCGUAAACGUUGGGAACUAGAUGUGGGGACCAUUCCACGGUCUCCGUGUCGUAGCUAACGCAUUAAGUUCCCCGCCUGGGGAGUACGGCCGCAAGGCUAAAACUCAAAGGAAUUGACGGGGGCCCGCACAAGCGGCGGAGCAUGCGGAUUAAUUCGAUGCAACGCGAAGAACCUUACCAAGGCUUGACAUAUACGAGAACGCACUGGAGACAGUGAACUCUUUGGACACUCGUAUACAGGUGGUGCAUGGUUGUCGUCAGCUCGUGUCGUGAGAUGUUGGGUUAAGUCCCGCAACGAGCGCAACCCUCGUCCUAUGUUGCCAGCACGUAAUGGUGGGAACUCAUGGGAUACUGCCGGGGUCAACUCGGAGGAAGGUGGGGAUGAGGUCAAAUCAUCAUGCCCCUUAUGUCUUGGGCUUCACGCAUGCUACAAUGGCCGGUACAAUGGGCUGCGAUACCGCAAGGUGGAGCGAAUCCCAAAAAGCCGGUCUCAGUUCGGAUUGAGGUCUGCAACUCGACCUCAUGAAGUCGGAGUCGCUAGUAAUCGUAGAUCAGCAACGCUACGGUGAAUACGUUCCCGGGCCUUGUACACACCGCCCGUCAAGUCAUGAAAGUCGGUAACACCCGAAGCCAGUGGC
rnacentral:rRNA from 1 species